GGGGUAUAGCUCGGUGGUAGGCAUUUGACUGCAGAUCAAAGAGGUCUCCAGUUCAAAUCUGGAGUGCCCCC